rnacentral:rRNA from 1 species
AAAGAUUAAGCCAUGCAUGUCUAAGUAUAAGCAAUUAUACCGCGAAACUGCGAGUGGCUCAUUAAAUCAGUUAUCGUUUAUUUGAUAGUACCUUACUACAUGGAUAACCGUGGUAAUUCUAGAGCUAAUACAUGCUAAAAAUCCCGACUUCGGAAGGGAUGUAUUUAUUAGAUUAAAAACCAAUGCCCUUCGGGGCUCUCUGGUGAUUCAUAAUAACUUCUCGAAUCGCACGGCCUUGCGCCGGCGAUGGUUCAUUCAAAUUUCUGCCCUAUCAACUUUCGACGGCUGGGUCUUGGCCAGCCGUGGUGA